rnacentral:rRNA from 1 species
GUGGGGAAUAUUGGACAAUGGGCGAAAGCCUGAUCCAGCCAUGCCGCGUGUGUGAAGAAGGUCUUCGGAUUGUAAAGCACUUUAAGUUGGGAGGAAGGGCAGUAAGUUAAUACCUUGCUGUUUUGACGUUACCGACAGAAUAAGCACCGGCUAACUUCGUGCCAGCAGCCGCGGUAAUACGAAGGGUGCAAGCGUUAAUCGGAAUUACUGGGCGUAAAGCGCGCGUAGGUGGUUUUGUAAGUUGGAGGUGAAAUCCCCGGGCUCAACCUGGGAACUGCCUCCAAAACUACUGAGCUAGAGUACGGUAGAGGGUAGUGGAAUUUCCUGUGUAGCGGUGAAAUGCGUAGAUAUAGGAAGGAACACCAGUGGCGAAGGCGACUACCUGGACUGAUACUGACACUGAGGUGCGAAAGCGUGGGGAGCAAACAGGAUUAGAAACCCGGGUAGUCC